GAUGAACGCUGGCGGCGUGCCUAAUACAUGCAAGUCGAGCGAACAGACGAGGCGCUUGCUCCUCUGACGUUAGCGGCGGACGGGUGAGUAACACGUGGAUAACCUACCUAUAAGACUGGGAUAACUUCGGGACACCGGAGCUAAUACCGGAUAAUAUAUUGAACCGCAUGGUUCAAUAGUGAAAGACGGUUUUGCUGUCACUUAUAGAUGGAUCCGCGCCGCAUUAGCUAGUUGGUAAGGUAACGGCUUACCAAGGCAACGAUGCGUAGCCGACCUGAGAGAGGGAUCGGCGACACGGGAACGGAGACACGGUCCAGAGUCCUGCGGGAGGCAGCAGUAGCGAAUCGGCCGCAAUGGGCGAAAGCCUGACGGAGCAAGGCCGAGUGAGUGAUGAAGGUCUUCGGAGCGUGAAACUGGGUUACGGGGUGAGAACAAAUGUGUAAGGAACCGUGCACGGCGUGACGGUACCUGAUCAGAAAGCCCCGGCUAACUACGUG
rnacentral:rRNA from 1 species